rnacentral:rRNA from 1 species
UUGGGUGACUCUAACGAGAAGGUCACACCCGUUCCCAUCCCGAACACGGCAGUUAAGCUUCUCAGCCCCGAUGGUACUGCAUGCGCAAGUGUGUGGGAGAGUAGGACGUCGCCCGAU